rnacentral:rRNA from 1 species
CUACGGGAGGCUCCAGUGGGGAAUAUUGCACAAUGGGCGCAAGCCUGAUGCAGCAACGCCGCGUGAAUGAUGAAGGCCUUCGGGUCGUAAAAUUCUGUCCUUAAGGAAGAUAAUGACGGUACUUAAGGAGGAAGCCCCGGCUAACUACGUGCCAGCAGCCGCGGUAAUACGUAGGGGGCUAGCGUUAUCCGGACUUACUGGGCGUAAAGGGUGCGUAGGUGGUUUUUCAAGUCAGAGGUUAAAGGCUACGGCUCAACCGUAGUAAGCCUUUGAAACUGGAAAACUUGAGUGCAGGAGAGGAAAGUGGAAUCCCCAGUGUAGCGGUGAAAUGCGUAGAUAUUGGGAGGAACACCAGUAGCGAAGGCGGCUUUCUGGACUGUAACUGACACUGAGGCACGAAAGCGUGGGUAGCAAACAGGAUUAGAUACCCGAGUAGUC